UGGUGUAGCUCAAUUGGCAGAGCAGCUGACUUGUAAUCAGCAGGUUGGGGGUUCGAUUCCUCUCGCC
rnacentral:tRNA from 2 species